GAUCAUGGCUCAGGAUGAACGCUAGCUACAGGCUUAACACAUGCAAGUCGAGGGGAAACGAUAGAGAAAGCUUGCUUUUUCUAGGCGUCGACCGGCGCACGGGUGAGUAACGCGUAUCCAACCUGCCCACCACUUGGGGAUAACCUUGCGAAAGUAAGACUAAUACCCAAUGACGUCUCUAGAAGACAUCUGAAAGAGAUUAAAGAUUUAUCGGUGAUGGAUGGGGAUGCGUCUGAUUAGCUUGUUGGCGGGGUAACGGCCCACCAAGGCGACGAUCAGUAGGGGUUCUGAGAGGAAGGUCCCCCACAUUGGAACUGAGACACGGUCCAAACUCCUACGGGAGGCAGCAGUGAGGAAUAUUGGUCAAUGGACGAGAGUCUGAACCAGCCAAGUAGCGUGCAGGAUGACGGCCCUAUGGGUUGUAAACUGCUUUUAUAAGGGAAUAAAGUGGGAGUCGUGACUCUUUUUGCAUGUACCUUAUGAAUAAGGACCGGCUAAUUCCGUG
rnacentral:rRNA from 1 species